rnacentral:rRNA from 1 species
CAGUAGCCACGGGAAUACGAAGGGUGCAAGCGUUAAUCGGAAUUACUGGGCGUAAAGCGUGCGUAGGCGGUUUGUUAAGUCUGCUGUGAAAUCCCCGGGCUCAACCUGGGAAUGGCAGUGGAUACUGGCAAGCUAGAGUGUGUCAGAGGAUGGUGGAAUUCCCGGUGUAGCGGUGAAAUGCGUAGAGAUCUGGAGGAAUACCGAUGGCGAAGGCAGCCAUCUGGCCUAAUACUGACGCUGAGGUACGAAAGCAUGGGGAGCAAACAGGAUUAGAUACCCCAGUAGUCCCUGUCUCUUAUAC